rfam:Dipodomys ordii contig_2766, whole genome shotgun sequence.
GGGAAUGUGGCUUAGUGGUAGAGUGCUUGCCUAGCAUGCAUGAAGUCCUGGGUUCCAUUCCUCAUUACCA